rnacentral:rRNA from 1 species
CAGUAGCCGCGGUAAUACGAAGGGUGCAAGCGUUACUCGGAAUUACUGGGCGUAAAGCGUGCGUAGGUGGUGGUUUAAGUCCGUUGUGAAAGCCCUGGGCUCAACCUGGGAAUUGCAGUGGAUACUGGGUCACUAGAGUGUGGUAGAGGAUAGUGGAAUUUCCGGUGUAGCAGUGAAAUGCGUAGAGAUCGGAAGGAACAUCUGUGGCGAAGGCGACUAUCUGGGCCUGUACUGACGCUCAUGCACGAAAGCGUGGGGAGCAAACAGGAUUAGAUACCCGUGUAGUCCCUGUCUCUUAUAU